GCUUGUCUCAAAGAUUAAGCCAUGCAUGUCUAAGUAUAAACAACUUUGUACUGUGAAACUGCGAAUGGCUCAUUAAAUCAGUUAUAGUUUAUUUGAUAGUACCUUACUACUUGGAUAACCGUAGUAAUUCUAGAGCUAAUACAUGCGAAAAGACCCGACUUACGAAGGGUUGUAUUUAUUAGAUACAAAACCAAUGCGGAGCAAUCCGGUUAAAGGUGAUUCAUAAUAACUUUGCGAAUCGCAUGGCCUUGUGCCGGCGAUGAAUCAUUCAAAUUUCUGCCCUAUCAACUUUCGAUGGCAAGGUAUUGGCUUACCAUGGUCGCAACGGGUAACGGGGAAUUAGGGUUCGGUUCCGGAGAGGGAGCCUGAGAAAUGGCUACCACAUCCAAGGAAGGCAGCAGG
rnacentral:rRNA from 1 species